CCUACGGGUGACAGCAGUGGGGAAUAUUGCACAAUGGGGGAAACCCUGAUGCAGCAACGCCGCGUGGGUGAAGGAGCGUUUCGGCGCGUAAAGCCCUAUCAGCAGGGAAGAAGAAAUGACGGUACCUGAGUAAGAAGCACCGGCUAAAUACGUGCCAGCAGCCGCGGUAAUACGUAUGGUGCAAGCGUUAUCCGGAUUUACUGGGUGUAAAGGGAGCGCAGGCGGCACGGCAAGCCUGAUGUGAAAGCCCGCGGCCCAACCGCGGGACUGCAUUGGGAACUACCGGGCUGGAGUGCCGGAGAGGUAGACGGAAUGCCUAGUGUAGCGGUGAAAUGCGUAGAUAUUAGGAGGAACACCAGUGGCGAAGGCGGCCUACUGGACGGUGACUGACGCUGAGGCUCGAAAGCGUGGGGAGCAAACAGGAUUAGAUACCCUAGUAGUC
rnacentral:rRNA from 1 species